rnacentral:rRNA from 1 species
UAGGGAAUCUUCCGCAAUGGACGCAAGUCUGACGCAGCAACGCCGCGUGAGUGAAGAAGGCUUUCGGUUCGUAAAACUCUGUUGUUAGAGAAGAACAGCGCAUAGAGUAACUGUUAUGCGUGUGACGGUCUCUAACCAGAAAGGGACGGCUAACUACGUGCCAGCAGCCGCGGUAAUACGUAGGUCCCGAGCGUUGUCCGGAUUUAUUGGGCGUAAAGCGAGCGCAGGCGGUUAGAUAAGGCGGAAGUUAAAGGCAGGGGCUCAACCAUGGUAGGCUUUGGAAACUGUUUAACUUGAGUGCAGAAGGGGAGAGGGGAAUUCCAGGUGUAGCGGUGAAAUGCGUAGAUAUAGGGAGGAACACCGGUGGCGAAAGCGGCUCUCUGGUCUGUAACUGACGCUGAGGCUGGAAAGCGUGGGUAGCAAACAGG